CCCGAGGAAGGGAACGGGGCGGGAGAAAAGAGGCAGCCGGGAAAACGCGACUGUCGCCUCGGAAUUCUGGACACGAACGACACUAAUAAAUGAAAGUUCUGAGUGCGCAGGAAUGUUAAUCUAUUCUCGAACUCCCUCCGCUCAUCUCAGGCACCUGCCCCGUGCCGAUGCUUAGUGAAUGUCCGUAACCAAACUGUCGUGGAAUUUUCUUACAUGCUCCUUUCUUUUUCUUCCUUCGUUUCUUUCAUUUGAUGAAUGAAUUGUUGAUUACCUGCCGUGUCAGAUAUUGUGGCGGGCACAGGAGAUAUUCAUUUGAAUUUGGCACAGGUUCCAUCUCAAAUUCCUGUGGAGGAGGCAGAUAAAUACCACAUUUUAAGUUGGAGCCCGAAGAUGAGGAAACUGAGUCUCACCCCAACUCCCCCACCAAGUCCCUGAUACUCCAGCUAAAUUGAAGCCAAGAUCAGUACACAUUUUAGGAAGGUGAGAUGAGGUGCCAGGAUAAACACUUGGCAGGAGAGGA
rnacentral:lncRNA from 1 species